CAAAGUUUAAUACUGAAUUAGUAACAUUAAAAUGGAAAUACCUUUCAGCCCUUGAUAUUGCAAUGAUAAUAUACAAGAGGUAGAAUAAUAUUAGAAAGCUACUUUACAAGUCAUUAAGUCAUGAAUGAUCUGUAAUGAAAGCUUUAUUUUAGACGAAUAUGUAAUACUAUUUCGGGCCUUAACGCCGGGUGAACCCCCCACCCCCACAUAAUACACACGUAAGUCAUGCACUGCCUGAACCAAUAGUGAAUUAAUUGACUUAUUCUAUGAUCUCAGUGGUGCGAUUGCCAAAAAAUACCAAGCAAUGGUUUGCAGGAUUCAGAGUGGUCACUGUCCCCGGAAGUGUUCUGUGCAGACACAGCAUGUGUGUUGUGACUCUGGUAAAACCCUGGUUAUGUGGCGGGCCGGAGGAGGGUCUAAACAUCUUCGCAACGGAACCGGUUCUCGGUCGAGUUUCCAAUAACGUGCGGCCCAGAACAGAAUGAAACUUCAAACUGCAAUAUCCAGCUUUGUUUUCCCUACUCACGUCAGAUAACUUGCAGAGCGGUAUUGCUGUGAAAUUAACCACGUGUCCUUCAGUAAGUGAUGGUCGGCUGUCUUCUUUAACUCCUGCUUUCUUCUGGUGGAGGUGCUCGCAUACAGAGAAUGCAAGGAUUCAUCAGGAACUGUGGUGAAGGAAUGGUCAUAUUUGCCAAAGUCACCGAGAAGAUUUUGUAUUUUCAUGCCCUUUUUUACUAAAGUCAUGCGUGCCAAAGUCUUUGCUGAUGUUUCUUAUAAACAAACGUUUAGGACAAGAAUAUACCAGCAGCAUGACCCACAAGACUAUGAAAUUGGCUGAGAUAACAAAGAGCAAAAUUAUAGAUUUCUUGCGAGUCUUCAUCUCCAAGUCUUCCUGUUUUGACCCACUGCUAUUACCGCAAAGUCUUCUCCGUGCUCUGUUGGCAACUACAAUAUGCCUGACGGUUAAAGCAUUUAACAACAAAAUCAGAACAAAUGGGACACCAGGGGUGAAAAUAUGAUGGAAGAGCUCAACUGUUGCCCAGACUGGUGAUUCCAAAUAGUCCCAUCUUACAAAACAAAACCAGGGAAAGUUGCUCAGUAAAUAUUCAGCUGUAAAUAUGAAAAACCAAAACACAUUCUUUAAACAGCUCAGCACAGUCACUGUUCCCAGGACCUUAAAUGCCACUUUUUCAGUGCAAUAUUUGACUUUCAGCGUCUGGCAGCAAAUGGCCACAAAGCGAUCAAAAGUGAAAACGACAGUGAACCAGACAGAACAGUCUGUGACUGCAAACAGUAGAAUUGCAUGGAUAUGACAUACAGGGAUGGACUUCACAAAUAUAAACUGUUCAUCAUAAACAAUUGGAAUAUGCCUCAACAUCAGGUCAAUGAUAAUGACCAGGAGAUCUGCCACUGCCAUGGACACCAGAUAACGUGUUGGACAUUUGGAGAGACCACAAUUUCCUCCAGACAGUAUCACAAUUGUUAGUGAAUUAGCUGCAAAGAAAUAAAAUAACUUAAUCAGACAGAGGAUACAUUACCAAUUUUAUUAAUGAACCAUUGAGAUUUGCAAAUAUGCUUCAUUUUCCUGAAAUGUUUCAAAAUUAUUGUACCUGUGACUUGGCUACCUUUUGGAUCAUGUGAUGACCAUUUACUUAGAUGAAAUAUUGAAUUUCCAUUAAUAUUUGAAACAAAUUAACUAAAUUGGAACACAUAAUAAAAGAUAAAUGCUUGUCAGAAUACUCUAUUUGCUCUUUCCAGAGCACAAAAUGUUAGCUUUGCAUGUAACAAUGGCAUUGGAGAAUGAGAGAAUUGAAACUGAGUUUACUUUCCGCUAUAGGGUUGGAGAUAUUAAUGCGAGCUCCUUCUCCUUAUUGUUACCCACUGGCCCUGAGUUAUUGGGAGAGGGCUGCUCUCUCUUAUGGUUGUUCAUUUUAACAUGCAAUGGCCAAAGAAUAUGUCUUUAGUCAUUGCACUGUUGCUGUUUUGGCAGAUUUGAACAUGAGAACCUGAUGCGGAUGAGUCUCCUCAGGAAUGAUGGCCCUGAUGUAGUCAAAGAUGACCUACACAAUAUAUAUAUUCACAUUUACCAAGUUCCAAUGGAAAUCUCUAUUUCAGGAUCCAAAUGGCUGGACUCGAAAAUGAAGCAGUGAACAAGGACUUUGAAGGGACUCAAUCACAUCCCACAAGUAGGAAUGCCCCCGCUGAAUUCUAGUUCAGCACAAGAUCAUGAUAGGAAGGGGGAGCUGGUGAGGAUAUAUUAGGUCCAUAAAUUGUUUAUAACUUAAUAUUUUUAAAAUUAGCUUACUUUAAUAAUUUGGCUGUCUUUUAUGUUGUCAAUUGAUAAAUGAUUUGCUGUUAUGUUAUAGCGCAUGUUAUAGUUGUCUUGGUCAACACUGAUGUUUCAAUGUAAUUGGGAUUGUUCUGUGUUGUCCUGAGCCACUGUAAGUGGCUCAUUGAUAUUGGAGUAAUAUGGUGUCUUAAAAAUUCUUUCAACAGCAUUUAACUUAAUAAGGUGAUAGAUAAUGCCAGUAUAAUGAUUAUUUGAAUGUAUUAAACUGACUAUAUUGUCUUUGCAA